rnacentral:siRNA from 1 species
UCCAAAAGAGCCUCGCGUGACCCC